CCCAAAAAUUAAAUACUCUCCAAUGUUCUGCUACAGUACAGUGAAGAAAGAAGAAGAAGAAAGAAUAGAGAGAGAUCAGAGAGCUAGAGGUGCAUAAAAGCUUAGCAUUUAUGUCUAGAUCGGGAUGCAGGAUUUCGAGUCACGAGUCCUCUCUUUACCUAAAGCAUGCAUGCCUCGUGUCUGAAGCUUCUGGUCGUUCCUUGCUAGCUUCUUAUACUAAGGUCUUUUCCAACAAAGGCCAAACCUUAUUCUGCUUAUCAGGAGUGGCUUGGUUCAUCUUUCCUCUUCUUUCUGGUUUGUUUGGUUUGAGAGCUUGAAGCUGCCAGCAUGAUCUUGGUAACACUAGAGACUAAACCUAGCUAGCUAGCUAUAUGUAUAUAUAGAUCGAGAGAAGGCCGGUUGAGUGUUCAAAUUUGUGCUUAUAUUCAUAUAUGUCCGUUUUGGGGUUUAGAUGUAAGAAUUGCACCAGAUCCAGGUUGAUAUAUAUAGCUUAUAUAUAGCUAUUAUUCUCGCCACAUCCAGUUAACAUAAUAGGAUCAUGUUAUCUUCUAAAAAAAGAAUAGGAUCAGGUUAGUGUUGAUUUUGUGCUUAUUUCCGGUGGUCUCAGGUUCAGAUCGAUCGAGCUUAUCGAACGCUGAAUAUAUUAGCAGAAGAUCUAGCUUCAUGUCAAUUGGUCCAGAGUCCAGACUCUUGAUGAGUGUCUUUUCUGUUUUGAUAGAUCUUGGUUUAAUUAAAUCAUGUUCUCGAAAUUCUGGAGAUCGAAACUGGUUUGAAGUCGAUCAAUUUGUUAGGUCAGUUAAUUACUAGAUAAUUAUUAUAAGUUAGGUUACUCUAGCUACACCAGGUCAUCUUGCAGCUUCAAACACUCACUCACCAACAGUAUGAAACUUGAUGUCUCAACUGAAAUGAAGGUCUUAUGGUGAUUUCCUCUGCCCGUCCCAAGGAGAGAACUAGCCAGGCUUGGUUUUCGCAGGGUUCCCGUCCUAUAUAUGAUAGCUUUACUGGUGCUCGUACAGUCGUACUGGUUUAUUGAGAAGAUAGUGAAAAAUCGAUGUACGUAGUCAUAUGCAGAGCCAGUGGUCACUCAGUUUCUGAGAUAAUUAACACCUCUGAGAAACCAGCUUCCGCCUGCAUAGUAACUGGCAAACCCAGAAAACAUAUAACUAAUAAACCAGCUGGGCCUUCGUCUCUGAAAAAGAAAAGUUGGUGCUGCACGUACUGCUGCAUGCUAAUAAUUUUCACCGGUUGUUUAUAGCUAGGGUACGUACGUAUAAGUGCGGUAAUUUCUUCUCUAAAUGUUAUUUCAUCAUCAGAAUUAACUUGUAAUUCAACUAGUUAACAAUAACUAGCUCGAUAGACUUCGGUUGUACUUCCAAGUUGAUCGAUCUUUUCCUCAACAACGUACUACAGCUAGUCUUGAUAUGCCCCGAUCAAACUGCACGUGUAAUGCUGUCAUGCAAUUAUUAAUUAACCUUGCUUUUGGAGUA